GGGGCCUUAGCUCAGCUGGGAGAGCGCCUGCUUUGCACGCAGGAGGUCAUCGCUUCGAUCCCGAUAGGCUCCAUCA
rnacentral:tRNA from 1 species